CAGCCCGGUAAUUCCAGCUCCAAUAGCGUAUAUUAAAGUUGUUGCAGUUAAAAAGCUCGUAGUUGAAUUUCGGGGUUAGUAGGUUGGUCAUGCCUCUGGUAUGUACUGGUCUCACUGAUUCCUCCUUCCUGAUGAGCCGUAAUGCCAUUAAUUUGGUGUUGCGGGGAAUUUGGACUGUUACUUUGAAAAAAUUAGAGUGUUUAAAGCAAGCUAACGCUUGAAUACAUUAGCAUGGAAUAAUGAAAUAGGACGUUCGAUCCUAUUUUGUUGGUUUCUAGGAUUGACGUAAUGAUUAAUAGGGAUAGUUGGUGGCAUUAGUAUUCAAUUGUCAGAGGUGAAAUUCUUGGAUUUAUUGAAGACUAACUACUGCGAAAGCAUUUGCCAAGGAUGUUUUCAUUAAUCAAGAACGAAAGUUAGGGGAUCGAAGACGAUCAGAUACCGUCGUAGUCUUAACCAUAAACUAUGCCGACUAGGGAUCGGAUGAUGUUAAUUUUUUAAUGACUCAUUCGGCGCCUUACG
rnacentral:misc_RNA from 1 species